rnacentral:tRNA from 1 species
GCCUGUGGCUCAAUGGCUAGAGUGUUUGACUUCUGAUCAACAGAUCGCGGGUUCGAACCUCGGAUGGGGCA